UGCAUUACCAGCCAUACAAACAGCCUGAGCUAUGAUCUCCUGUAGUUCAGUGGAGGAGAGGUUGAUAGUAGAUCCAGAAGACUAGGACUCAACUGAGGUGGAAGCCGUUGGCGGAGUAGGCUCAGUAUUAGCAACAACAGCAGUAGAUUUGUUACGACAGUAACAAGUCUCAAUGGUGUGGCCAGGACGCUUGCAAUAGUUGCAGAACUU
rnacentral:lncRNA from 1 species